rnacentral:misc_RNA from 1 species
GUUUUAAUGGCUAGAUCAUAACUCAUAAUUGAACUUGCAUUAUUGAAGCAUGUGCGCGUGUGAAAUCUAAGUUCAAACUACUUGUUUGAAUAUUCUUUUUUCCUGACAUAAAUCUGAUUCUUGUAAUUCAAAUCUACAUAAUGAAUGAGGUAUUGCUUAUCCUUGUCAUUGUUUUAGUAGGGGUAUUCUGGAUCUGUGGAUUAAUAGAUGGUUAGUGGCACAUCUUUUUCACAAAUUUUU